rnacentral:rRNA from 1 species
GACGAACGCUGGCGGCGUGCUUAACACAUGCAAGUCGAACGGUGAAGCGCUUGCCUUUUUGGUGGGUGUGGAUGAGUGGCGAACGGGUGAGUAACACGUGAGUAACCUGCCCUCUUCUUCUGGAUAACCUCAUGAAAGUGGGGCUAAUACGGGGUAUUCCGGGUCUGUCGCAUGGCGGGUUUGGGAAAGAUUGCGCCUUUGGGUGUUUUCGGUGGGGGAUGGGCUCGCGGCCUAUCAGCUUGUUGGUGGGGUGAUGGCCUACCAAGGCGGUGACGGGUAGCCGGCCUGAGAGGGUGGACGGCCACACUGGGAGUGAGACACGGCCCAGACUCCUGCGGGAGGCAGCAGGGGGGAAUAUUGCACAAUGGGCGCAAGCCUGAUGCAGCGACGCCGCGUGAGGGAUGGAGGCCGUCGGGUUGUGAACCUCUUUCGCCAGUGAAGCAGGCCUGCUCCUGUGUGGGUGGGUUGACGGUAGCUGGAUAAGAAGCGCCGGCUAACUACGUG